rnacentral:rRNA from 1 species
CUUGGAGGAAUGUAUAGCAACUGCUAGUUGCACUAAAAAUUUUAGUGUAAAAUCAACUUUGUUGAAUAAAAUUCUGGAUAGAAUUAUGAUAAUGACAUUAUCUAUCCAUAAGUCUUGACCAAAUUACGUGCCAGCAGUCGCGGUAAUACGUAGAAGACAAGUGUUAUUCAUCUUUAAUAGGUUUAAAGGGUACUUAGACGGUAAAUCAAGCCUUAAAAAGGGACUAAUUUGCUAGAGUUUUAUGUGAAAAAGUAUUAAAGUACUGCUGGUGUAGAGAUGAAAUUCUGUAAUACCUUAAAUGGCACAGGUUAAGGCGAAAGCAUCUUUUUAUGUAAAAACUGACGUUGAAGGACGAAGGCUUUGUGUCUCGAACAGGAUUAGAUACCCUAGUAGUCUAAGCAGACAAUGAUGAAUGUCAUAGAUUAGAUAUCUUUUGAUCUAUAAAUGAAAGUGUAAGCAUUCCACCUCAAGAGUAAUUUGGCAACAUUGGAACUGAAAUCAUUAGACCGUUUCUGAAACCAGUAGUGAAGUAUGUUGUUUAAUUUGAUAAUCCGCAAAAAACCUUACCACAAUUUGAAUAGAUAUAUUAUAUCAUACAAGCGUUGCACGGCUGUCUUCAGUUAAUGUCGUGAGACUUUGGUUAGUUCCAUAAAAUUAACGUAAACCCUUACUUUAUUUUUAAAUAAAGUAGCUCACCGCUAUAUUGGAUGUGAUAACGGGGAUCAAGACAAGUCAUCAUGACC